GAUGAACGCUGGCGGCGUGCCUAAUACAUGCAAGUCGAGCGAACAGACGAGGAGCUUGCUCCUCUGACGUUAGCGGCGGACGGGUGAGUAACACGUGGAUAACCUACCUAUAAGACUGGGAUAACUUCGGGAAAGCGGAGCUAAUACCGGAUAAUAUAUUGAACCGCAUGGUUCAAUAGUGAAAGACGGUUUUGCUGUCACUUAUAGAUGGAUCCGCGCCGCAUUAGCUAGUUGGUAAGGUAACGGCUUACCAAGGCAACGAUGCGUAGCCGACCUGAGAGGGUGAUCGGCCACACUGGAACUGAGACACGGUCCAGACUCCUACGGGAGGCAGCAGUAGGGAAUCUUCCGCAAUGGGCGAAAGCCUGACGGAGCAACGCCGCGUGAGUGAUGAAGGCCUUCGGAUCGUAAAACUCUGUUAUUAGGGAAGAACAAAUGUGUAAGUAACUAUGCACGUCUUGACGGUACCUAAUCAGAAAGCCACGGCUAACUACGUG
rnacentral:rRNA from 1 species